GACGAACGCUGGCGGCGUGCUUAACACAUGCAAGUCGAACGAUGAAGCCGGAGCUUGCUCUGGUGAAUUAGUGGCGAACGGGUGAGUAACACGUGAGUAACCUGCCCUUGACUCUGGGAUAACUGCGGGAAACUGUAGCUAAUACCGGAUACGACCCUCGGAGGCAUCUCCUGGGGGUGGAAAGAAUUUCGGUCAAGGAUGGACUUGCGGCCUAUCAGCUAGUUGGUGAGGUAAAGGCUCACCAAGGCGACGACGGGUAGCCGGCCUGAGAGGGUGACCGGCCAAACUGGGACUGAGACACGGCCCGGACUCCUACGGGAGGCAGCAGUGGGGAAUAUUGCACAAUGGGCGCAAGCCUGAUGCAGCAACGCCGCGUGAGGGAUGACGGCCUUCGGGUUGUAAACCUCUUUUAGCAGGGAAGAAGCGAAAGUGACGGUACCUGCAGAAAAAGCACCGGCUAACUACGUGCCAGCCGCCGCCGUAA
rnacentral:rRNA from 1 species